AAUGUUUACUUUCCAGCUGUCAAAAGCACUUUUUUUUACAAAACGCACAUUUUCGCCCCGCGGACUUUUUCACAGAAAAGGCUUGGGCGUAUUACCCGUCCUUCAAGUGGGUACGAAUUAACCGCACCCCCGAGGAGCACAGGGUUUAUUUGUCCCAGAGGACCGACCAGCCGUGGUUGUUGAUGCAGGUGUACAAACAAUGUUGUCAUUGCAAUCAAUCGUCCAGAUUUGCAGCAGGUUCGGUGCUCCUCCGGGCAGCUCCUUCUUGCUCCACAUUUAACUGUGUAACUAAAUAAAUAAUAGGUGGAAGAUAGACAUAAGAGAGCUGGAGUAACUCAGCGGGACAGGGAGCAUCUCUGGAGAGAAGGAAUGGGUGACGUUUCGGGUCGAGCCCCUUGGCUCUGGAAGGUUACAUCGCAUGGGAUCCAGGGAGAACCAGCUAAGCCGGCUUGGUGGAGUGUAUGGGAGGUUGUUCUUGGGACUGGAAGUCCAUAACCAGUGAUGUGCCUCAGGGAAGAUAGACACAAAAAUACUGGAGUAACUCAGCGAGUUUCUCUGGAGAAAAGGAAUAGGUUUUCGGGUCGUGGCCCUUCAUCAGGCUGAAGGGUUCCAGUCUGAUGCUACUUAAUCAGCAUCUGCAAAUCCUUCUUUACACAAUGAGCCUCGGGGAUCCGUGCUGAGCCUAUUGGUUUUGGUCAUCUGUAUUAACGAUUUGGGUGAGGAUGUACAAGGCUUGGUUAGUAAAGUUGUCACUAAAAUAAGUGGUAUCGCUAACAGUGAAGAUGGCCACCAAUAAUUACAAUGGGAUCUUGAUCAGCUGGGUAAGUGGACCGAGGAAGAGCGAACGGAGUUUAAUUCAGAUAAGUACUAGGUGUUGAUUUUGGGGAAGUUAACACAGGGCAGGUGGACUUUAGUGCCAUGGGGAGUGUCAUAGAACAGAGGGACCAAGUAGUGCAUAGUUCCCUGGAAGAGGCAUCACAGACAGAGUGGCAAAGGAAAAAAUGAGAACAAUCGAGGUAUUGAAUACAGGAGUUGGGAUGCAAUGCUAUAGUUGUGCCUGAUAUCGGUAAGGAACCAUUUGGAGUAUUGUGUUCAGUUUUGGUCACCCAACUAUAGGAAGGAUGUUGUUCAGCUGUAAAUAGUCCAGAAAAUAUUUACGAGGAUGGUGCCAGGACUCCAGGGACUGGGUUGUGGGAGAGGUUUGGCAGGCUGAGACUUUAUUCCUUGGAGGUGGGAGAUUGAGGGAUAUUCUUAUAUCACGAGGGACGGAAAUAGGAUAGAAACAUAGCAAAAUGGGUGCAGGAGUAGGCCACUCGGCCCUUCGAGCCAACAUUGCCAUUCAAUAUGAUCAUGACUGGUAUCUAAAAUCCGUUCCUGCAUUUUCCCCAUAUCCCUUGAUUCCUUUAGCCCUAAGAGCUAAAUAUAACCCUCUCAUGAAAACAUCCAGUGAAUUGGCAGAGAAUUGCACAGAUUCACAACUCUCCCAACAUCGGGAACAUUUUUCCUGCAAUGAUGAAUGCACACAGUCUUUGCCCCCAGAGUUGGGAAAGUAAGAACUAGUGGACAUAGUUUUAAGGUGACAGGGGGAAUAUAUAACAAGAACCUGAGGUUCAACGUUGUCACUCAGAGGUGGUGUUUAUAUGGAUGGGAUGCCAAAUGAAUUGUUUGAGGUUGGUAUCAUAACAACAUUUAAAAUACAUUUGGACAGGUACAUAAAUAGAAAAGGUUUAGAGGAAUAAGGGUCAAAUGAGGGCAAGUGGGACUAGCUCAGAUGGAUAUCUUGGUCAGCAUGGACGAGUGGGUCUGAAGAGCCUGUUUCAGCGGUAUGUGUCUAAUUAUGCAAUACAUAUGUGCCCGCGUUUAGAUAUUUUUGAAGUACUUUCGCCCUUGCAACGCAAGAACAUCUGCUUUCAAUUUAAGGUGCCACAAUUUGUUUUAUGUUAUUUGCGUUGCCAUGGGGACGUUUAAUGACUUAACUUUUUUUUUACACCUUUAGUAUGAACAGCUCUUGUCCAGGACCUCAUAGUAAAGGAGAGCCCACUGUAUUUGCUCGAGUAAUCAAUUUAUUAAUGCGACGAGUGUGCAGUGUUUGCAAUGAAUUAGACCGUGGAGGAUUUACUGUUCCUGCUAACAUCAAACCUUGGGUGUUUUACGAGGUAUCAUUACCGAAUCCGCGAAUACCUUGCAAUUGUUAUUAAAGGAAUUCAAUAUCACCA